rnacentral:lncRNA from 1 species
UUCUUUGUGGGAUUCCUUCUUUUUGUUUUUUGACUUUAUCUUUAAAGUUGGUAGCUUAUCUUAAAUGUUCAUUGCCCUUGGUUUUUAGAAGUGAGAUACUACGAAGCUGGGGCUGGAAAGUGGUGUUGAGAAUGAAGGAUCAGCACUGUCAACCCAUCAGGUGAUCUCCAAAGUCCAUUAUAAGGAAUCAGGACUUGACUCUUAGAGUGCUUGGAACUGAAUUGUUUCAGUGGGCUGAAGGCUUCCUCUUCAAUAUACAAACUUUUACUUAAAUGUUCUUGCUGCAGCAUGGAGUUAAAUUUUGGGAAAAAAAUUUUGCCAUAAUUUUUGUGGGUUCUGGAAGGAAUCAGAAGUAAAUUCAUGUUCAUUCUACCAUUUUAAUUUCAAAUGAAUGUCCUUUAUUUUAUAAGUAAAUAAUUUAGGGUGAGAAAGAGUUUGUGAAGGAAUGAUAGUCAAUUGUUUUUUGUUUGUUUGUUUGUUUUUAGGAAUUCCCUUGUAGAUCAGCAGGUUAAGGAUCUCUUGUUGUCACUGCUGUGGUGUGGGUUCCAACCCCUGUCCCAGGAAACUUCCACAUGCUGUGGGUGCAGCCAAAAAAAAAAAAAAAAAAAGUUGUGAACUUUUUUUCUAGAAUAACCCAAAUAGAGGAAGUGCACAAAUCUCCAGGUGUGUAGUUUGAUCAGUUUCCCAAAGGUGGGCACAUUGAUGUAAUGACCAAUAGUAUUAAAAAACAGAACAUGAUCAUGAUCAUAACCCAAGAAGCAUUCUCAAGCCCCUCUCCUGUCACUGCCUCUCAUUCCCCAAAGAUAACAGUCUCACUUUAUAUAGAUGUAGUCAUGUGGUAUAUACUUUUGCAUCUAGAUUCUUUAAAUAUUGUGCUUAUAAGAGUUCAUGUUGUUACAUGUGGUAGGUUUUUAAUCCUUUUUUUUUCAUUAUAUGAAUACACCUUAUUUUCUUUUUCAUUCUAAAACUGAUGGUUAUGUGGGUUACUUCUAAGAUGGACUGAUUAUGAACAGGGUAGCUAUGAAUAUCUCUACCCCUUUAAAAAAAAUUGUGGCCACACCCACAGCGUAUGGAAGUUCCCAGGCAAGGAAUGGAAUCUGUGGCAACAGAUCCUUUAACCCACUGUUACAGUGUUGGUGUAUGCUUAACUUUCGUGGUUAUAUUAAUUUACAUUCUGACCAUUGGUAUAUGAAAUUUCCAGUUGUGGUGUGUCCUCCCAAACGUUUGUUAUUAUUACCCUUAAGUUUAACCAUUCUGAUGAGUUUGUGGUAUCUUUUUCUUUAAAUAGUGUUCAGAUGUAUUGAUUCUUCAAUAUCUCAGAUUUUAAAGAUACAUUAAAGGUUUAUUGUAGCACUUGUAUAUUCCUUUUGAGGUUAAUAAAAAUUUCUUGUUGAUAUUAUCUUUCAAUCUAUAGAGGAAUUUACUUCUUUUCUUCUCAGAUCACCAAGGAAUCUGUGAAGGUGCUUCAGAACAAGAGUAAAGGGAAAGGAAAAACAAAGAGCUGGACUCUGCUCUCUCAGCCCUUCUUCAAGCAAAAAAGCUCUGUUUGUACACUGGGCAUUUUCUAAAAAUAUAAUCUCACAUGAGAUGUUGCUUUGCUCAAAAUUUUAAGUUAAAAACUAUUCUUCAAAGAAUUAUUGACAAUAAAACCUUUAUACUGGAAUAUAAAUCUUUCUUGAUACAUGGGCUCUUUGCAAAGGUUUUUUUUGGUUUGUUUUUUUAUUUUGUUUUGCAAUCUUAGGAGUUCAUGGCUAUUCAUACACUGGCAUCUGAUCUUGUAAGGGGUGGGAGUGGGCACAACUAAGCAUCAGCAACCAGUGCCUUUACAACCCUUUCUUUUACACUGUUUGUAUCUCUGGUGCAGGAAGAUGAGUAAAUAACAUGCUUUAGUUUAUAACAUACUGUCAUCAUUGUUUUGUGGAAAGCCUUACUACUUUGUAAUGUUAUUUUCCCCUCAUCUUUGGUCUCUUAUUUCUCUCUCUGCUUCUAGUAUAUUUGAUAAAUAUUUGUAAUUUUCCCUAUAAUGGAAAAUAUAUUCAUGUAUAUGUAUAUAUUUAGACUUCACUCUUAAUUUUCAACUCAACACUAAGUUUUUAACUAUUGCAUGGCAUUUUAAUAUGUAUCCCU